rnacentral:rRNA from 1 species
GACGAACGCUGGCGGCGUGCUUAACACAUGCAAGUCGAACGGAAAGGCCCUGCUUUUGUUGGCUGCUCGAGUGGCGAACGGGUGAGUAACACGUGAGUAAUCUGCCUAUGACUUAGGGAUAACUUCUGGAACCUGGUGCUAACACUGGAUAGGAGCUCCUGUUGCAUGGUGGUGGUUGGAAAUUUUCGGCGGUUGGGGAUGGACUCGCGGCUUAUCAGCUCGUCGGUGGGGUACUGGCUUACCAGGGCGUUGACCGGUAGCCGGCCUGAGAGGGUGACCGGCCACAUUGGGAUUGAGAUGCGGCCCAGACUCCAACGGUAGGCAGCAGUGGGGAAUAUUGCACAAUGGGCGGAAGCCUGGUGCAGCAAAGCCGCGUGCGGGAUGACAGCCUGCGGGUUGUGAACCGAUGCCGCCUGUGACGAAGCGUGAGUGACAGUAAUGGGUAAAGAAGCACCGGCUAACUACGUG